rnacentral:rRNA from 1 species
UACGGGGGGGGCAAGCGUUGUUCGGAAUUACUGGGCGUAAAGGGCGCGUAGGCGGGAUGGCAAGUCGGUCGUGAAAUCCCUCGGCUCAACCGGGGAACGUCGAUCGAUACUGCUGUUCUUGAGGAUUGCAGAGGAGACUGGAAUUCCCGGUGUAGCGGUGAAAUGUGUAGAGAUCGGGAGGAACACCGGUGGCGAAGGCGGGUCUCUGGGCAAUUCCUGACGCUGAGGCGCGAAAGCGUGGGGAGCAAACGGG